CGAUGUGGACCCAUUGUCAAAGUGUGUGUCGGAGAAUUCUAUUUUCAAUAACAUUGCGGGAAAUAGAUCUAGUGAAUAAUAUUUUAAUCUAUCGAUAAAAAAUAAUAAUUUGAAAGAGAAGCAAAAAACUGAAAAAGAGUCACCAAACCUUCAUCGAGGUAGAAUCUACGCCGACUCUUUGAGUUCAGCAAGGAUGACAACGUGUGUUCCUGAACAAACGGUAGGUACAUUUUAGAUCUGUUUCAUAAAUAUAUUUUUAAAAUAUAGCCGUCUAUAUUGUCUCCAUAACAAUUAUAUAAAUCCACCGAAACUACCCCCGAUCCAAACCAAUUCUCACUUAGAUAUUGAACAAAGUUUUAGCAUUCACUGAAAGAGAAAUCUUUUUUUCAAGGUUCAUUUAUAAAUCGUAAAUUUAUGUUCUAAUUUGGAACCUCAAACUGAAAUUAGUCAGUUAGAAACAUCAAUAUUAGACCCUUUAUUCAUCUAAUUUGGGACUAUUUAUGAAAAACAAUAGGCGCAAAUGUAGAUUUUGUAAUUUUGCGCAGGCCUUUCAGAUUUCAUGUUUCGAUCACGUCGUGGUUCUCCGUAAAAUUUACGGAGAGCGCCGAUGUGGGACGGACAUAAAUAGUAUUUUUCCAAAACAAAUUAUGUAUCUGGUUACUGAAAUGUGAAAUAUGAUCGCAGACUGAAGUCAUAAAUUUAUAAAAGUAUUUAAUUAAUAGAUAACAAAUCAUAUAUUUGUAUUGUGCUAAACUCUAUUUGUCUUAAGUGGUAUUUGAAAUUAAAACUUAGUUUCUUUUACACACAAAUGCCCAUAGUUGUAUGGUAAUUAGUACGGGAAUCGCCGCCAUUUUGUAACCUGCUGUUUUAUAACGAGGAGGUUGGUUGAUAUUUUUUUAAGAACUCGUAAGUAAGGGAAAGUCAUGUACUGUAACGUUUGAUUGAAAUAGAUAUAUGUUCCCAGUAAAUGUUUUGGUCUUAUCGUUUUCCCCGUCGACAUGCUCCAUCCCCAUCGCGGUUUUAGAUCAAGAAUUACGUUUUGGACUGGCACCAGGCUUUUGAAAUUUUGGCAAAGUUACCAGUGUCAACUUUGUUUUGGUUUAGUUUUAGGUUAUUAAUGAAUGCAACUUGAUUUUUCAGCCCCAUCCUUGUGGUGAUUUUUGAAGACGAAAAAGGAACGAUACUUCAUAGACUUGGAAGAAGUCACACCUCCUGCUGAUGAGCUUGUUUCAUGAAAAGGGAUCAAGGAGAAGAAGCCACUUGCUGCCUGGUGGCCAGCAACUUGGUGUUUUUACGAUGCUAUUGACACCGGUGUGGUACUCGAAGUUCUGAAACCGGCAAAGACAAAACAACUAGAACAUUGUGGUGAGCAAGAAGAUCUGCACGCUUAGGAAUGGCUUCAAGUGAAUGAGCCAAGCCCCUUGAAGGACAGCUUCCAUGACGACCCCAGGACGAGGAUGACUUCCACUUUCAUAUGAUGGCUAGGGGGAACGGGUGGCCCAGUCGUCUAAGGCGCCGCGAUUUGCUGUGCAGAGUUGCGUCCCUUUUAUUGUGGGUUCGAAUCCCGGUUUGCCCCAAUUAUGUUUCUAGGUUUGUCAGCACCAUAC